UACGGGGGGGGCAAGCGUUGUUCGGAAUUACUGGGCGUAAAGGGCGCGUAGGCGGCCUGCUAAGUCGGACGUGAAAUCCCUCGGCUCAACCGGGGAACUGCGUCCGAUACUGGUGGGCUUGAAUCCGGGAGAGGGAUGUGGAAUUCCAGGUGUAGCGGUGAAAUUCGUAGAUAUUAGGAAGAACACCAGUGGCGAAGGCGGCUCACUGGUCCGGUACUGACGCUGAGGUGCGAAAGCGUGGGGAGCAAACAGG
rnacentral:rRNA from 1 species